GCUGGUCAGAGAAAGCACCGAGCCCGCCCCAAGAAAAGUCGGGGCGCCUGGGGGGCUCAGUCGGUGAAGCUUCCGACUUCCGCUCAGGUCAUGCUCUCACGGUUCACGGGUUCGAGCCCCGCGUCGGGCUCUGUGCUGACAGCUCGGAGCCCGGAGCCUCCUUCGGAUUCCGUGUCUCCCUCUCCCUCUGCCUCUCCCCUGCUCGUGCUCUGCCUCUGUCUUUCAAAAAUGAAUAAACAUUAAAACAAUUAAAAAAAAAACGAGGAGAGCCAAGCGCUCUGAAAAGCCUGUCCCCGGGUCACGUGGGAGUCUCAUGAGAAGGAGGGCGGUCCCGUGCACUUUGCCCUAACGCCUGCCUGCGUUCCCGGGGUUGCCAGGCCCCCGAGGGCCCUGACGAAAGCGAGGCUUUGCAGAUUCCUUGGCAGGUACGUUUCUUGCUGGUCCAGCGAGGUUUUACGUACUGGGUGGCUAUUCCAGCCUGUCCAGGGCAGACCUCGGGCCUGAGCCCAGCCUCCCCUCAUCCCCGAAUCCCAGCAGGCAGUGGGGGCCCGUCCCGCCGAAACGAACCCGGCUGGACACCCGCUUGGUUCUUCGGCGUCCGAGGUCUGUGUGACGGUGCGGACUCACCGUGCAUAAGUGCUUCCACGUGGCAGGAGACAAAGGUCCUGUGGCCUCAUUCUAUCCUUUCCCCCGCUGGGCAAAAGCCAGGAGGGUGUCCAGGGAGCGGUGGCCCAGUGAGAGAGCCCGGGACCCACCUCACAGGUGGCCACGUGUGGCCGGGGCCUUCUCCGUGGCUGCUGUGGGGGGCAGGCCCUCUCUCGGGGCAGCCAGCCUUACGCCAAGGGUCCGGCUGCCUCCGAGGAGGGCUCUCCAGGGCAGGAAUUAGGAACGGGAAAUCUGGGGGGAUCCAGAGAAGGCAGGAGACGGGUGUGGCGGGGAGGUGGGGAGAGAGGCAGGCUCCCUGGGGCGUCCCGGGCGGGCGGGGGCUCUGCUCUGACCCCUGUGGGUUCUCCAGCGGAGCACGUGCUCUGACCCCCAGGUCUGACCCCAGGCUCUCGCAAAGCCGCCCUCCCGUAAGUGAGCUCCGAUGGGACGCAGCCCUUCCCACGGCCCCCAGGACACAGCCAGGCCAUCGCGCUUCGAGGAACAGCCAGCCUGCGCCCUCAACCCUGCCCCGUCCCGCCCCGCUGACCGGUUGGCCUGCCCCGAGUUCCCGGGGUCAGAUCCCUGCACAGGCCGGAGAGGUAAAGGAGGCACGGUGUCCGGGGCCUGUCCCCGGUGAGUGUUGCAUGUGUCCCGUUGUCAGUACGAAUUUCCUCCCUUCAUGGAAUUUUGUCUUAUUGAGAUGGAAUUCACACGCGAUGGACGGAACGAGUUUAAAGUGCACAGUCCAGGGGCGCCCGGGUGGCUCGGUCGGUUGAGCGUCCGACUUCGGCUCAGGUCACG
rnacentral:lncRNA from 1 species